ACCGCAUGGUUCGGUGUGAAAAACUCCGGUGGUGUAAGAUGGACCCGCGUCUGAUUAGCUGGUUGGUGAGGUAACGGCUCACCAAGGCGACGAUCAGUAGCCGGCCUGAGAGGGUGAACGGCCACAUUGGGACUGAGACACGGCCCAAACUCCUACGGGAGGCAGCAGUGGGGAAUAUUGCACAAUGGGGGAAACCCUGAUGCAGCAACGCCGCGUGAGUGAAGAAGUCAUUCGUGAUGUAAAGCUCUAUCAGCAGGGAAGAAAAUGACGGUACCUGACUAAGAAGCCCCGGCUAACUACGUGCCAGCAGCCGCGGUAAUACGUAGGGGGCAAGCGUUAUCCGGAUUUACUGGGUGUAAAGGGAGCGUAGACGGCGACGCAAGUCUGAAGUGAAAUGCCAGUGCUCAACACUGGAACUGCUUUGGAAACUGUGUGGCUAGAGUGCAGGAGAGGUAAGUGGAAUUCCUAGUGUAGCGGUGAAAUGCGUAGAUAUUAGGAGGAACACCAGUGGCGAAGGCGGCUUACUGGACUGUAACUGACGUUGAGGCUCGAAGGCGUGGGGAGCAAACAGGAUUAGAUACCCUGGUAGUCCACGCGGUAAACGAUGAUUACUAGGUGUCGGGGGGCUAUAGCCCUUCGGUGCCGCCGCAAACGC
rnacentral:rRNA from 1 species